rnacentral:rRNA from 1 species
CCGACGGUGAGGGGUGAAGGCUGGGGGCGCAAACCGGAUUAGAUACCCGGGUAGUCCCAGCAGUAAACGAUGCCAGCUAUGUGUUGCUGGAACCAUGGGUUCCAGCAGUGCCGAAGGGAAGCCGUGAAGCUGGCCACCUGGGAAGUACGGUCGCAAGGCUGAAACUUAAAGGAAUUGGCGGGGGAGUACCACAAGCGGUGGAGCCGUGCGGUUUAAUUGGAUACAACGCCGGGAAUCUUACCGGAGGGGACAGCAGUAUGAAGGCCAGGCUAAAGACCUUGCCAGAUCAGCUGAGAGGAGGUGCAUGGCCGUCGCCAGUUCGUACCGUGAGGCAUCCUGUUUAGUCAGGCAACGAUCGAGACCCGCAGUCUUAUUUGCCAGCAUGCCCUUUGGGGUGUAUGGGUACAAUAAGACGACCGCCAGCGCUAAGCUGGAGGAAGGAGCGGGCUACGGUAGGUCAGCAUGCCCCGAAUCCUCCGGGAUACACGCGGGCUACAAUGGUCAGGACAAAAGGUACCGACCUCGAAAGAGUGAGGUAAUCCACAAACCUGAUCUCAGUCCGGAUCGAAGGCUGCAACUCGCCUUCGUGAAGAUGGAAUCGGUAGUAAUCGUGACUCCAAAUGUCACGGUGAAUAUGUCCCUGCUCCUUGCACACACCGGCCG